AUUGAACGCUGGCGGCAGGCCUAACACAUGCAAGUCGAACGAGUGGCGGACGGGUGAGUAAUGUCUGGGGAACGGCCCGGUGGAGGGGGAUAAAUACUGGAAACGGUAGCUAAUACCGCAUACCAGCGGAUGGGCCCAGAUGGGAUUAGCUAGUAGGUGGGGUAAAGGCUCACCUGGGCGACGAUCCCUAGCUGGUCUGAGAGGAUGACCAGCCACACUGGAACUGAGACACGGUCCAGACUCCUACGGGAGGCAGCAGUGGGGAAUAUUGCACAAUGGGCGCAAGCCUGAUGCAGCCAUGCCGCGUGUAUGAAGAAGGCCUUCGGGUUGUAAAGUACUUUCAGCGGGGAGGCGUUACUCGCAGAAGAAGCCCCGGCUAACUCCGUGCCAGCAGCCGCGGUAAUUC
rnacentral:rRNA from 1 species